CAGCUGCGUCAUCUCCAUCUUUGGCAACAGAGUUGGCAGUUGUGUGCAUCUACAGAGGCUUCUAAAUAGCAAGAGUGUACAAAGAGGAGCUGACUAUGUUUCGGAACUGACUUGCAUGUUUUCCACUGUCAACAUCUCAACGCUCCUCAAGUUUUGAGAAGAUUUUUUGCAUAUAUGUGAAAUACAGAAUGGCUACUAUCAAACCAAGAAGAAACAAGUGCCAGUGAAGAUGCAGAGAAAAAUGCACCCUUACAAACUGUU